rnacentral:misc_RNA from 1 species
GAUGAAGAACGUAGCGAAAUGCGAUACGUAAUGUGAAUUGCAGAAUUCCGUGAACCAUCGAAUCUUUGAACGCACAUUGCGCCCGGCAGUAAUCUGCCGGGCAUGCCUGUCCGAGCGUCAUUUCUGCCCUCGAGCGAGUCCAGCAUCUAGGUGCUGGGCCCGCCCGGCGUUGGGGCACUACGGGAAGCCCUGUGCUGUCCCCCGUAGGCCCCGAAAUGAAGUGGCGGUCCUGCCGCGGCGCCCCCUGCGUAGUAUAACAGCUCGCUUCGGGACCCGGUGGAGGCCUGCCGUCAAACCUUACUCUCUAAGUUUGACCUCGGAUCAGGUAGGGUUACCCGCUGAACUUAAGCAUAUCAAUAAGCGGAGGA